UACGUAGGGUGCAAGCGUUAAUCGGAAUUACUGGGCGUAAAGCGUGCGCAGGCGGUUUUGUAAGUCUGACGUGAAAUCCCCGGGCUCAACCUGGGAAUUGCGUUGGAGACUGCAAGGCUGGAGUCUGGCAGAGGGGGGUAGAAUUCCACGUGUAGCAGUGAAAUGCGUAGAGAUGUGGAGGAACACCGAUGGCGAAGGCAGCCCCCUGGGUCAAGACUGACGCUGAUACGCGAAAGCGUGGGGAGCAAACAGG
rnacentral:rRNA from 1 species